AGGACAUAAUUAGAAGGUGUCAGAGAAUGCAGAAACCAGUUAUUGUAGCAACAAACAUGCUGGAGAGCAUGAUUAAUCUUCAUACGCCAACAAGGGCAGAAGUCUCUGACAUUGCAAUUGCAGUAUGGGAAGGUGCUAAUGCGGUCAUGCUUUCUGGAGAAACUGCCCACGGAAACUAUCCAUUGAAAGCUGUCAAAGUAAUGCAUACUGUGGCAUUGAGGACUGAGUUAAGUCUACCAAUUAGCACUGCUCCUCCAAAUCUAUUGAGUACAGAUAAGCGCUGGAAAUCGAAGCUUUUCAUCUAAUGCCCCACUGAUUGAGAUCUCUAAUGCUCAGAUUGUCGUUCCAGAUCUUGCUCGUGACUUGGAAUCAUGUUCGAUUUAUACAAGAGAAACAAGCUGCAAGCAAGAUGUUGAUUACAUGUCUAUUGUCGAGGAUGAAUCUGAAUCUACUUUUCAUGAGGCUUUUCUUAGUCGUCUUAUGGAAACUGGUGCAACAUAAAGUUCAUCUUUAUGUGACCUUCCUAAGCAGAUGGAAGGUGAUCAACAGAGAGCCUCUGAACAGACUAAGAACAUCUUAAGUAAUUUAGUUGCUGCUGUUGACAAUUUGUGGUGUCUAAAAGAUGGAAUGCAUACUGUAGUCUUGAAAAAACUUUCAGAAAAUGGAUCUUGCAGGCAAAGGACACCAAGUGAAUUAGAUAGAGAGGUUAAGAACUUGAGGGUGGCAUUUACUGACCUGUUUUUGAAGCAUAACACUUUCAAAGAAACUGCAAAGCCAUCGAGAUAUUGAUGCAAAGAAUAAAGCCAAGCUUAGAAUAUUAAGAGCUAGAAAAUUAUGUGAAAACUGAAGAAGCUAAAGUUGAGGAGCUUAUAAAGGCAGUUGCUGAUUCCGGUGCCAAAGUAAUUGUUAGUGGAGCAGCAGUUGGGGAGAUGGCACUUCAUUUCUGUGAGCGCUACAAGUAUAUCACCUUCUAUUGUGUUUUUUUAUUGACUAACUUACUAAUUUGCCGCACUACUGGUGCUGUUGCUAUGGUAAGUCAGCUAGCAUUUAAUAGUACUCAAAUUUUUUGAAUUUUUUCCAAAAUUCUCUAACAAUAUUCUUAUUUGU